CUGAGAAAGAAGUACAAGUCCAUUACAUCAACAAGGAAUUAUAGAAACGAAAAAAUGGAGAGUACUCUCUUAAACCAAAAACCUGAUAUGGAGUCAUCUUCUGACAGACCCACCAUGAUUCAACAACAGAACAUGAACAUCUCCCAAAAGGAAGAAAUUGCUUCCCGAUUCCUCACAUUGGAUGAAGAUCCCAGCAUCCAGUACAAUGCAGUUUUGGCUCUGGGCAGCCUGGUACACAGUGAAGAGCUGGCUACGACUGCAGUGAAGAAAGACAUCCGAGACCACAGCAGAGCGGCAAAAACCGAACACACCGCGCUGCCGUAUCAAACACCUGCUACAAGGACCCCACCUAGAACCCGCAUCCCCAAACCCAUCAAUGCCCCAACAUGCAAACCCCGGGGAGGGCCCAGGGAGCUCCCCAUCCGAGACCCCAGCAGAGCGGCCCAGACCGAACACACCACGCUGCCGCCCCAAACACCUGCUACGAGGACCCCACCUAGAACCCUCAUCCCCAAACCCAUCCAUGCCCCAACACCCAACCCCCGAAGAGGGCCAAGGGAGCCCCCCAUCCGAGACCUCAGUAGAGCAGCAAAAACCAAACACACCACGCUGACGCAUCAAACACCUGCUACGAGGACCCCACCUAGAACCCGCAUCCCCAAACCCAUCCAUGCCCCAACAUGCGAACCCCGGGGAGGGCCCAGGGAGCUCCCCAUCCAAGACCCGAGCAGAGCGGCCAGGAUCAAACACACCACGCUGCCGCCCCAAACACCUGCUACAAGGAGCCCUGUUAGAACCCACAUCCCCAAACCCAUUAAUGCCCCAACACCCAACCCUGAGGGACGGCCCAAGGAGACCCCCAUCCGAACCAUCAGCAGAGCAGCAAAAAACAAACACACAACGCUGCCGCACCCAACACCUGCUACGAGGACCCCAGCAAGAAACCACAUACCCAAACCCAUCCAUGCCCCAACACCCAACCCCCGGGGAGGGCCCAAGGAGCCCCCCAUCCGAACCAUCAGCAGAGCAGCAAAAAACAAACACACAACGCUGCCGCACCCAACACCUGCUACGAGCACCCCAGCAAGAAACCACAUACCCAAACCCAGCCAUGCCCCAACACCCAACCCCCGGGGAGGGCCCAGGGAGCCCCCCAUCCGAGACUUCAGUAGAGCAGCAAAAAUUGAACGCACUACGCUGCUGCCCCGAACAUACGCUAUGAGAACCCCUGCGAGAACCCACAUCUCCAAUCCCCUCCAUGCCCCAACAUGCAAACCUCGAGGAGGGCCCAGGGAGCUCCCCAUCCAAGACCCCAGCAGAGCGGCCAGGAUCGAACACACCACGCUGCCGCCCCGAACACCUGCUACAAGGACCCCUGCUAGAACCCACAUCGCUAAACCCAUUAAUGCCCCAACGCCCAACCCCCGGGGAGGGCCCAAGGAGCACCCCAUCCGAGACCCAAGCAAAAGAGUCAUGACCCACACCCAGAGAAAAAUCACAGGGUGCCCGCCAGUGGCCAGGUUCAGAGCCAAUAGAGGCAAGACUCCAGGCCAAGAGGUGACUGAUCCUGAGGCAGCACCGGUGGCAAGGCCCCACAACAUAAUCCAAGAACCUCGGCCAAUCACCCCAGAAACAACUGAUCCUGAGGCAGCACCGGUGGCAAGCACCCCCAACAUCAUCCACGAACCCCGGCCAAUCACCCCAGAAGCAAUUGAUCCUGAGAUAGCACCUGUGGCAAACCCCCCCACCGUCACCAAAGAACCCCAGCCAAUCACCCCAAAAGCAACUGAUCCCGUGGCAGCAUUGGUGGUGAGCCCCCCCACCGUCACCCAAGAACCCUGGCCAAUCAACCCAGAAGCAACUGAUCCCGAGGCAGAAUUGGUGGCGAGCCCCCCCACCGUCACCCAAGAACCCUGGUCAAUCAACCGAGAAGCAUCUGAUCCCGAGGCAGCAUUGGUGCGGAGCCCCCCCACCGUCACCCAAGAACCCUGGCCAAUCAACCCAGAAGCAACUGAUCCUGAGGCAGCACCGGUGGCAAGCCCCCCCACCGUCACCCAAGAACCCUGGCCAAUCAACCGAGAAGCAUCUGAUCCCGAGGCAGCAUUGGUGCGGAGCCCCCCCACUGUCACCCAAGAACCCUGGCCAAUCAACACAGAAGCAACUGAUCCUUAGGCAGCACCGGUGGCAAGCCCCCCCACCGUCACCCAAGAACCCAGGCCAAUCAGCCCAGAAUCAACUGAUCCUUAGGCAGCACCGGUGGCAAGCCCCCCCCACCGUCACCCAAAAACCCCGGCCAAUCAACCCAG
rnacentral:lncRNA from 1 species